rnacentral:lncRNA from 1 species
ACACGUGCAGGUACUGUUAGUGUGUUUCAGUUCCCCGGAAAAAAUUCAGGGAAAGUUAGGGACGGCCUGCAGGCGCACUGUGAAUCGUAUUCGGAUCCCGAAAACAAGUAAGGACCCCUCACCCUAUUUCCUAUCACGGUAUUAAAGUUCAAAAUGAUAAAACGAUAUUUCUUGAAUUAACGAAUGUGUGAAAUUGCUUAAGGUGGCUAAUGGAG